rnacentral:lncRNA from 1 species
ACCAGGCCUUGGGCAUGUGAUCCUGUGGGAAACACUUCAUAUUCAAACCAUACAAAGUUGUUCUUUGAUUUUUCUUAAGCAGAUGAAGAGCGCAGAGAGCCGCCACCCGGUGAGCUCCCAGUACAGGAUGCACUCGUACUACGGGCCUCCCUCCUACCUGGGCCAGAGCAUGUCCCAGAUCUUCACCUUUGAGGACGGCCCCUCCUACUCAGAAGCCAAAGCAAGCGUGUUCUCACCGCCCAGCAGUCAAGAUUCUGGCUUGGUUUCCCUCUCCAGCAGCUCUCCGAUGAGCAACGAGAGCACCAAGGGAGUUCUGGAAUGCGAGUCUGCACCUUCUGAGCCCAGCAGCUACACUGUCAACCAGGUCCUGGAAGAGGAUGAGGACGAGUGAGCCGCCGGUCGGUCGACUCGGUGUCCACAGGGUAGUAGAAGGCUUGUUCUGUUAUCGGCAGGGUUUGUUAUUUGUCUUUUUCCGUUCAGAAGUUUUGGUUCAUAUUCCUUAGAGUUAGAUUAAAACACUUGUAACAGUGUAGGGUUCCUGACUACCAACUGCAAGAAUUAAGUGCCUGGCUCACCAAGUUUAAACUAUAGUUGAAUCUCUCCCCUUACCCACUCCCCCCCACAUACAACUAAUUGACUAUUGGCCCAAGUUAGUCAUAAUUGCUUGCUACUUUUGGAGUUAAAAUGAAAUCUUAAGUGCCUUCGAUUAUUACAAAGUUUUCAGGAUUUUAACAAAACCAAGAAAUAUAAAUUUAGCCAAGUACUUGACCAGAGAGAAGAGCAGGCAAAAUUACUUAAGAAAUAUGCAGGAAGUAAAUGGGAACGACACUGUUUCUGUGUUGCUGUUGGAAAUAGCUGUAUCACACACUCCAAAUCUAAACAUAACUGAAAUACAGUGAGAGAAAACUGUUACUAUUUUCCCCAGUAAAGGGUAACUUAAAAGCAAUACAACAUGAAGUAACCUGGAGAGGUAUUUCCUGGGUGGUGUUCCUAGAAUGAGUUUAAUAUGUACAUUUUCUUUACUACAGGGGAAAAGUGGAUGCAAUCUAGAUGAUUUUGUAACCUUAGGUUGUAAUCUGAGUUGAAAAUAAGUACAUCUUUAAAAGUUACCACUGAAAUUUGAGUUCAUUAUUUUGUUAAAAAUUGCUUUUGGAGUACUUCCUUAUGUAACAGAAGCCAUCCUGAAAUGAAACUAGUCUAAAAAAAUUAAUUGUGGUGUGUGGUUGCAGCUGUACCUGAAAUAAAAACGUUAUUGAUGACUGCAUUUUCUUGUGUGUAUAUUUGGGGAGCC